GAUGAUUUAACAAUGGAGUCAGCGGAGUCGAAGAACGGUUCAACCGGAACUCGUUCAUGCCGGCGAGCGAGUGGGUUAGCGGAGUGAAUAUCAUCAUCGCACGUGACACAAAGAGCGGCAGCGUCGGCUUUGCAAGUGACGGCAGCAGGUGCUUGCUCACAAACCUCACACAUCCAAACGCGCUCGUGUCUAGAAACGAGCUUAUUGGCGCCGUGGAUCUUGGAAUCGCAGUUAAGGCAAAGGUAAGCCGAGUCAGCACGGCAAAACGCAGCAGCAGGUGCCGUUUUGCAGGAGUCACAACGUCUAGCAGAAACGCUAGACCAACCGCCGGCUAAGCUCUUUAACGUUUCGAGUUCAAUUCCCAUGGUGCUGGAAAAACAAAGAAAAAACGUUUUUUUUUUUUUCAGAGUAAUGGGGAAGAGUGGG
rnacentral:lncRNA from 1 species